UCCGGAGUAGCUCAAUGGUAGAGCGGGUGACUGUUAAUCACUAGGUUGGGGGUUCAAGUCCCUCCUCCGGAGCCA
rnacentral:tRNA from 1 species